rnacentral:rRNA from 1 species
CAGCCGCCGCGGGAAUACAGAGGGUGCGAGCGUUAAUCGGAUUUACUGGGCGUAAAGCGUGCGCAGGCGGUUAUAUAAGACAGAUGUGAAAUCCCCGGGCUCAACCUGGGAACUGCAUUUGUGACUGUAUAGCUAGAGUACGGCAGAGGGGGAUGGAAUUCCGCGUGUAGCAGUGAAAUGCGUAGAUAUGCGGAGGAACACCGAUGGCGAAGGCAAUCCCCUGGGCCUGUACUGACGCUCAUGCACGAAAGCGUGGGGAGCAAACAGGAUUAGAUACCCCUGUAGUCCCUGUCUCUUAUAC